GCUCCUAACUUGAUGAUAAUGGACUGAACCUCUGAACCUAUGCAAUGACCAGAUGCCCCAACUCCUGCUGCUAGGAUGUUUUGUCAUGGACUGCACCCUCUAACUUUGUCUCAAGAUGUAAGCUCCAACACCAUGCCUGCCUGACUUCCGCCAUGCACCCCACCAUGGAGGUCAUAAACUCUAACCCCCUGGAGCUAUAAGCUCCCAAUAAACCCUUCCUUUCAUAA